rnacentral:rRNA from 1 species
CAGUCGCCGCGGGAAUACGUAGGUGGCAAGCGUUGUCCGGAAUUAUUGGGCGUAGAGCGCGCGCAGGUGGUUUAAUAAGUCUGAUGUGAAAGCCCACGGCUCAACCGUGGAGGGUCAUUGGAAACUGUUAAACUUGAGUGCAGGAGAGAAAAGUGGAAUUCCUAGUGUAGCGGUGAAAUGCGUAGAGAUUAGGAGGAACACCAGUGGCGAAGGCGGCUUUUUGGCCUGUAACUGACACUGAGGCGCGAAAGCGUGGGGAGCAAACAGGAUUAGAUACCCCGGUAGUCCCUGUUUCUUAUAC